CCUACGGGAGGCAGCAGUAGGGAAUCUUUCACAAUGGGCGAAAGCCUGAUGGAGCAACGCCGCGUGCAGGAUGAAGGCCUUCGGGUUGUAAACUGCUUUUAUAAACGAGAAAUAUGAUGGUAACUUAUGAAUAAGGAUCGGCUAACUACGUGCCAGCAGCCGCGGUCAUACGUAGGAUCCGAGCAUUAUCCGGAGUGACUGGGUGUAAAGAGUUGCGUAGGUGGCAUAAUAAGUAGCUAGUGAAAUCUGGUGGCUCAACCAUUCAGACUAUUAGCUAAACUGUUAAGCUCGAGACCGUGAGGGGUAACUGGAAUUUCUAGUGUAGGAGUGAAAUCCGUAGAUAUUAGAAGGAACACCAAUAGCGUAGGCAGGUUGCUGGGACGGUUCUGACACUAAGGCACGAAAGCGUAGGGAGCAAACGGGAUUAGAUACCCCAGUAGUC
rnacentral:rRNA from 1 species